rnacentral:rRNA from 1 species
GCCAUCCUUGGGAUACCACCCUUGUAGUACUGGGACUCUAACCAUAGGCCAUGAAUCUGGUCUUGGGACACUGUCAGGUGGGCAGUUUGACUGGGGCGGUCGCCUCCCAAAAGGUAACGGAGGCGCUCAAAGGUUCUCUCAGUACGGUCGGAAAUCGUACGUAGAGUGUAAAGGCAAAAGAGAGCUUGAUUGCAAGACAUACAGGUCGAGCAAGGAUGAAAAUCGGACUUAGUGAUCCGGUGGUUCUGCGUGGAAGGGCCAUCGCUCAACGGAUAAAAGCUACCCUGGGGAUAACAGGCUUAUCUCCCCCAAGAGUCCACAUCGACGGGGAGGUUUGGCACCUCGAUGUCGGCUCAUCACCUCCUGGGGCUGUAGUAGGUCCCAAGGGUUGUGCUGUUCGCCCAUUAAAGUGGUACGCGAGCUGGGUUCAGAACUUCGGGAGACAGUUCGGUCCCUAUCCGUCGCAGGCGUAGGAAAUUUGUGACGACCUGUCCUUAGUACGCGAGGACCGGGAUGGACGUACCUCUGGUGUACCAGUUGU